GAUGAACGCUGGCGGCGUGCCUAAUACAUGCAAGUCGAGCGAACAGACGAGGAGCUUGCUCCUCUGACGUUAGCGGCGGACGGGUGAGUAACACGUGGAUAACCUACCUAUAAGACUGGGAUAACUUCGGGAAACCGGAGCUAAUACCGGAUAAUAUAUUGAACCGCAUGGUUCAAUAGUGAAAGACGGUUUUGCUGUCACUUAUAGAUGGAUCCGCGCCGCAUUAGCUAGUUGGUAAGGUAACGGCUUACCAAGGCGACGAUGCGUAGCCGACCUGAGAGGGUGGUCGGCCACACUGGAACUGAGACACGGUCCAGACGCCUACGGGAGGCAGCAGUAGGGAAUCUUCCGCAAUGGGCGAAAGCCUGACGGAGCAACGCGGCGUGAGUGAUGAAGGUCUUCGGAGCGUAAAACUCUGUUAUGAGGGAAGAACAAAUGUGGAAGUAACUAUGCACGUCUUGACGGUAACUGAUCAGAAAGCCACGGCUAACUACGUG
rnacentral:rRNA from 1 species